UACAGAGGGGGCAAGCGUUGUUCGGAAUUACUGGGCGUAAAGGGCGCGUAGGCGGCCUUCUAAGUCGAACGUGAAAUCCCCGGGCUCAACCCGGGAACUGCGUCCGAGACUGGAAGGCUCGAAUCCGGGAGAGGGAUGUGGAAUUCCAGGUGUAGCGGUGAAAUGCGUAGAUAUCUGGAGGAACAUCGGCGGCGAAGGCGGCGCUCUGGGCUGGAACUGACGCUGAGGAGCGAAAGCGUGGGGAGCGAACAGGA
rnacentral:rRNA from 1 species